UUUUUUGAGAGUUUGAUCCUGGCUCAGGAUGAAUGCUGGCGGCGUGCCUAACACAUGCAAGUCAAACGGCCCUUCGGGGCAGUGGCAAACGGGUGAGUAACGCGUUGGUAUCUACCUUUAUCUUCGGUAUAACUCUUCGAAAGGAGAGCUAAUCCCGGAUAAUCUUUUCGGAGCAAAGCUUCGGCGGAUAAAGAGGAACCUGCGUCCUAUCAGCUUGUUGGUAAGGUAAUGGCUUACCAAGGCUAAGACGGGUAGCUGGUCUGAGAGGAUGAUCAGCCACAAUGGGACUGAGACACGGCCCAUACUCCUACGGGAGGCAGCAGUGAGGAAUUUUGCGCAAUGGACGAAAGUCUGACGCAGCAACGCCGCGUGAAGGAUGAAGGCCUUCGGGUCGUAAACUUCUUUUAGUAGGGACGAAGUCUGACGGUACCUACUGAAUAAGCUCCGGCUAACUACGUGCCAGCAGCCGCGGUAAUACGUAGGGAGCAAGCAUUGUCCGGAUUUACUGGGCGUAAAGAGUCUGUAGGUGGUUUAUUAAGUUGAAUAUUAAAGACUCCGACUCAAUCGGAGGAAAGUAUCCAAAACUGAUAAACUAGAGGCAAAGAGAGGCAAGUGGAACUUGUGGUGUAGGGGUAAAAUCCGUAGAUAUCACAGGGAACGCCAAUGGUGAAGACAGCUUGCUAGUUUUGUCCUAACACUGAGAGACGAAAGCGUGGGUAGCGAACGGGAUUAGAUACCCCGGUAGUCCACGCCGUAAACGAUGGGUACUAGACAUCGACCGUAUCGACCCGGUCCGUGUCGAAGCUAACGCGUUAAGUACCCCGCCUGGGGAGUACGGUCGCAAGACUAAAACUCAAAGGAAUUGACGGGGGCUCGCACAAGCGGUGGAGCAUGUGGUUUAAUUCGACGGUACGCGAGGAACCUUACCGAGGCUUGACAUCUAAGGAAUCUCCUGGAAACAGGAGAGUGCCUUCGGGAGCCUUAAGACAGGUGCUGCAUGGCUGUCGUCAGCUCGUGUCGUGAGAUGUUGGGUUAAGUCCCCUAACGAGCGCAACCCUUAUUGUAUGUUGAAUUUUCGUACAAUACUGCCCUAGUGAUAGGGAGGAAGGUGGGGAUGACGUCUAGUCAGCAUGGCCCUUAUGCCUCGGGCGACACACAUGCUACAAUGGUUAGUAUAAUGGGUCGCGAAGCAGCAAUGCGGAGCUAAUCCUUUAAAACUAAUCUCAGUUCGGAUUGAAGGCUGCAACUCGCCUUCAUGAAGUUGGAAUCGCUAGUAACCGCAAAUCAGCCACGUUGCGGUGAAUACGUUCUCGGGCCUUGUACACACCGCCCGUCACACCACGAAAGUUGGUAGUACCUGAAGUUCCAUUUUGGGCCCACGGUAAGACCAGUAAUUGGGGUGAAGUCGUAACAAGGUAUCCGUAGGGGAAUCUGCGGAUGGAAUACCUCCUUUCUAA
rnacentral:rRNA from 6 species